CUCUAACAGGGCCCACACACUGUGUGGCCAGGGAGGGGUUUUUUGCAGCUCUCCACAGGAAUCUGUCUGGCUUGCCGACCAGUCGAAACCAUCCUGUCAGGAAACGUCCUUGCUUUGAUUUUUAUGAUGGUGCUUGACUUUGAUGGUCAUUUGGUAAAAUCAGCUGAUACCUAUUCAAACACAAUUCAGUCCCAACAGAAAAGAGCAAUCCUAAGGAAAUGAAGCAGUCUCUCCCUGGAGUAAGGUAAUUGGAAGGACUGCUGCUUGGUGCUCUAUCCUCAUAGAAAAGAACCUCAAAAGGAUCAACUUCAUUUUACUUUGCAAUGAAGAUGCAAUAUUGACAAAUUGUACAUGUCUUCCACCUCACAAAUCUAUGCCAUCGGUCCUUCAGAUAAUCGCACAGCUUGAGCUGUACAGCAGCUCUAACCAGGCUUGAGUGUUUCCGGAAAACCUCAGUACGACAAGCCUGCUUGCUCUGUGUUAUUCUGGCAAGCGCAAUGUUCCCAGGAACUGGCUGCAGUUGUUCUUCACGAGCUGAGUGAACGUGAAGUAUCCCCAAAUGCAUAUGAACCGACUCAGCUGCACACAGCCCGUGCUCAGUAAGAAGAAAGAGGAAAGAAUAGAUGAUAUUGCUGCAUCAGCUUCACAGAAGAGGCUGAGGAAGAGCUCGUUUUGCCACCAGGAGAAGGCAGUGCAGCAACCUUUGCAGGGAACACCAGCCUCGCACAGCACAGAUCAGCACAAAUAUCUCACUGCUGGCCCUGAUACUGCUAACAUGGGUGAUAGAAGCCAUGCGUGUGCAAUGCUGAGCUGAGCUCCUUCGCUUAUGUGCUUGAGGAUGGCUGGGAAUUUCUGUUUGAAAGAUGAAGCUUUCAAAAUCACAUGGAGCAAUGAGAAACUUGUCUGGGAUUACUCACCGCUACUGGCUGAACAAAAUGGAACUUCUUUAGAAAAGCAGAAGUCUCUUAGGAAUUUGUGGUUAUUGGCCAUCAUGGCAAAAUACUUCUUUAACCAUUUCAUCAGAGAAGGCCAAGCAACUUCCAGGUUCCUCCUGCUGAAACUGAGCACAUGUGCACCGCGGUGAGCGAGGCAACGAGUAUUCAGGCCCAAUUAUAAAGAAAGGGAGAAAACCCAAGUCUUGAGGACCACAAUAUGAUGAUGAGCAUUCAGGGGAGGUAAAUAAGGGCAGCAGUGCUGAAUGGGUCCUACCACACUCUAUUGAUAACCGGUUUCCAGAGGAACAGAUGUAAGGACCAGCUGGAGGCUGCUGCAGGAUCCCAGGAGGAGGUAGCAGAAAUAUUGCUUAGCAGAUACUGAGGCUCAGUUGGCCACUGGAUUAGUAGCCCAUGCUGCACAUCCCUGUGCGCAUUCAUGGUGGUGUUGGUUCAGAAAGGCCCCAUGUACAGUCAAAAUGACUCUGAGGGUCUGGCAGGAGCAAAGCGCACAUGUUGUUCCUGCCAGUCUCUGCAGUUAAGGCACUGGCAGAGAAGGAGGCAUCCCGGAGAAAAGCACAUGGUUUAGUAUCUAGUGUUGGCAGCAAGAUUUUGGGUUUUGUCAGCAGUGGAAUGUUGUUCCAAAACCUGAGGAGCAAAGAUAAAAGCCUGCCUCACACACAAGCACACAAAAAAGAAGUGGAAAAUUUUACAUAUCAACUGGGUAAUCUAGCGGGAAGAGCUUUAGCACAGGAUAAGAAAUAGGUGCACUUAGCCUAUUAGGAAGAAUGAUCGUGAGUCAGACAAAUUAGAACUGGAUCCAGGCGACUUCUCAGUAGUACAGGGCCAAAUCUUAUUUUGCUAUUUGCAAGGGCAAUGCAAGGUAACUUAUUUUUUUCCUUAUUCAUUGAGGGUUAACAAAAGUAAAUUUCAUGAGAGCUUCAGACUAGGUUUCUUUGACAUUGUCUUCCCUGAGGAGUAAAAUCCCUAUGGACAGCCCAGCUUUGAGAGUGCUUCACUUGGACACAGCUCAGCCUGCCUCUGUUUCUGUGCUGGUUGAGGAUGGGUUCCAGAGCAGCAGCUGGAGAAAGAGUGAAAGAGGAGGAAGGCUCCUCUGUAGGAAGGAGGCUUGCAGAGGGGAAGGGAACAGUUUGGGGAAGAACUAUGUAAGUGAGGAGGAAGCUGGGGAAAGGAACUGUUUGAGGAAGCACUAUGUGAGUGAGGAGGAAGCUGGGGAAAGGAACUGUUUGAGGAAGCACUAUGUGAGUGAGGAGGAAGCUGGGGAAGAGUCUAGCCCCCACCAGUAGUUGAGUAUGAACACUCAGGGAUGGCACUGCCAGGUUAUAGGCAGAAGUCCUUCCUGUUGACAUCCAAGCAGUUGCUUGGAAAGAAAAGGGUAAACAGCAGUGGCUGGAUUGGAUCACCUCACAUUGUUGUUGCUCUCUCCCAGUGGCAUCAAUUAGCCUAUUAAUACGAAAGGUUUGUCCUGUGAGAGAAGAUAAAAGGAAGAUUUAAUUAAAAGAAACACUUUUAAUCUCUUGCCCUGAAAGCGAGGCUGAGUUACUGUAAGAAAUCUCUGCCUGGUGGCAGAAGAGGCAAACACAUGCCUGCUUUGAUGUGGGAAAUUUGCAACAAGCAACUAAACCAGGAAUGACAACAGCUGGAUGAGUAACCGGUAAAACCAAGCCAAACAGGUGAUCUGAAGAUAACAGGCUUUUCAGUAAGCCAGACAGCUGCUGAGAGAGGACUAGGGGAGAACUCAGAGCACCCAUUUCUCCUUUGGAUGCAGGAGAUGUCUUGGUUUGGGAUCCCGUAGAGGCAAGGGCUGAUCCUCGCCAGCAAGGAGGAGCCAGCUGAUGGUGAAAGACUACUUCAUUGAGAACAGUGGAGUUCAUAAUGCCUUGCAAAGGAUGGAGGAAAAGUCACGGAACACAAACAGAUAUUUCAGGAAGGCUAGUCUCGGAGACAGCAGUGGCUGUAUGAGAAACAGUAUCAAUAGCACCAAUGCAAACUGUCCUGUUGAGGAAAAAAGGUGGACAAUGUCAUUGUUCAUUGUUCUGAAGCAAAGUAAGUGAACUGUCAGGACUGUGAGGGCACCACCAGCCCUGACUGUGCCUCUUCAGCCCUCUGCAGCAGGCCAAGUCUCCAGCUUCCCACGCCCCUGCCCUGCCUAAGGGCAACAAGUUACCGAAAAAAAGAUUAGAAUCAAUUCUUAUGAGUGGCUCUAUGAAAGCAAUAAAAUGAGUUACAAACAGCACACAUUUGUCAGAACAAAGUUAUGUCAAUGUAUUAAACUUCUGCAGGAAGAUGAUGAAUCUCCCGGGUGGAUGAGAAGCAGUUGGUGGCGUUCAUCACUGCCUCACAUGACGCACUGACAGCUGAGAUAGGGAAACACACUCAACUGCA